rnacentral:rRNA from 1 species
CCCUUAGAUGUCCGGGGCCGCACGCGCGCUACACUGAAGGAAUCAGCGUGGCUUUCUCCCUGACCCGAAAGGGUUGGGAAACCCGUUGAAUCUCCUUCGUGAUAGGGAUUGGGGCUUGAAAUUGUUCCCCAUGAACGAGGAAUUCCCAGUAAGCGCGAGUCAUAAGCUCGCGUUGAUUACGUCCCUGCCCUUUGUACACACCGCCCGUCGCUACAACCGAUUGAACGGUUUAGUGAGGGCCUCGGAUUGGUCUCGGCCCGCUCUUUACCGGGCGGCGCCGUUGGUCGAGAAGACGCUCGAACUUGAUCGUUUAGAGGAAGUAAAAGUCGUAACA